CUAGCACCUGCUGAUAUAUUCCAAUUUGCUUUGAUCUCUUCUAACUCUUGGAAAACAGGUGUUCAGUAAUUAUGUCAUCAUUCAUGGCCACUAUGUGGGUACAUAUUUGUGAAACAAUCAUCAAAUGGUACCACAUAUAACACGCAUUUCAUAUGACAUUAAAAACCACUAGAUUCCCUCAAAGGACCCAUCCCACAAAAAUGAGUAUUGUAAAGAAUGCCACAUUUGCCCUAAAUACAGUUAAAUAUCACAUCACUGCAAUAAUGUACUCACUAAAACAUUUCUGACCAUUCCCUCUCAGCUGCUGCUAUGUUAUUAGUACCUAACACACACCAAAAUGAGCGCACUUGCAGGUUAUACAGAUACAGAAAGGCCACUCCAAACACAAUCCAAGAUAAAAUGACAAACUUUCAUGCUGUAGCUACAGUCUCAUUAGAUGAUACUAUUCCAGUUGACACUAACAACUUCAUGCACUAAAAUCACCUGCCAUUUUCCUUCACCCUUCUUCCUUUCCCUCCAUCCCGAGAAUGAGCCACUGACUUCAAAAGCUUCCAUGCAUAAUACCUUUUUUGUACAAAUGUUAUCCUGCUUGUACUUUGUGAAUAGAUUUUUCAUCUAUCCAAUUACAUUAUAUUUUGUAUAGUAGCACCUAAUAAUGUUAUGUCAAGUUUAAGCCUUAAUGGUACGUAUGUCCAACAGAUUAUUCUUAUUUUAAUACACUGACAUUAACACUGUAAAUCUCUUAGCAUGAAUCUUUAUGAAUUAUUCGGCAAAUCAUCCCCACAACAUUUGUGCAUGUAACUUUUAAUGUGAUAUAUCAUAAUUUCCUCUCCAUCAUGCGAAGAGGUGCAUACAUAGCUUUCAAUAGUGCACUGUGCCAAACUGUUCCUAUGUUAAUCGCAUUCCCAUAUGCACUAACAGCUUGACACUACUAAGCCUGAAACAACUUAACUGCAAAGACCCACAUGUAACAAGUACAAAUUGUACCUAAACCCUUUAAUUUAUCUUAAUACAACUUUGUAACACUGCUCAAGCAGUUAGUCCCACUGUAACUAACCCAAACAAAGCACUACUUACCACAUAACAAACUUCAAUUAAUAUCAAAAUUUCUGAACAAAAAUGCAUUGUGUGCUUAGUAUGUACAUACUCCACAUGCUUAUCAACAUUUCUGCAAACACUUUGUGCAGACUCCCCAUUCCACGAUUUGUGUUUAGUGGAUUACUAGGAAUAUUCUGUGUCAAUCAAUCUGCAUUAUUUCCCUCCUGCAGUCACCUCAUUUAUCACUCUUCACCCUACAGGCUACCUAUUCUUCACAGCAUGACACUAUGAAUGGAAGUAAUACACAUUAUGCAUGCACUAGUAUUAGAAAAAACAAGUCACAUAAUCUACAUGUUACAGUCAUUGUAAUUAAAACACUUGAUAAAUACUUACUACUAAACGUCACAUAAAUUACAAGUUCAGCAAAAUUAUUUUCUCUGUGACACCUGUUUCUAACCAAUACAUUACAUAAAAUGUCAAGGCACCAGUAGCAGCAGUCCUCUUUUUCUCAGCACAAACAUUUGUCCUGAAAGAAACU